rnacentral:rRNA from 1 species
AUUGAACGCUGGCGGCAUGCCUUACACAUGCAAGUCGAACGGCAGCAUGGAGAGCUUGCUCUCUGAUGGCGAGUGGCGAACGGGUGAGUAAAGCAUCGGAACGUACCGUGUAGUGGGGGAUAACGUAGCGAAAGUUACGCUAAUACCGCAUACGCACUGAGGUGGAAAGCAGGGGAUCGUAAGACCUUGCGCUAUACGAGCGGCCGAUGUCAGAUUAGCUAGUUGGUAGGGUAAAGGCCUACCAAGGCGACGAUCUGUAGCGGGACUGAGAGGAUGAUCCGCCACACUGGGACUGAGACACGGCCCAGACUCCUACGGGAGGCAGCAGUGGGGAAUUUUGGACAAUGGGGGCAACCCUGAUCCAGCCAUGCCGCGUGAGUGAAGAAGGCCUUCGGGUUGUAAAGCUCUUUCGGCCGGGAAGAAAUCGCACAGGCUAAUACCCUGUGUGGAUGACGGUACCGGCAUAAGAAGCACCGGCUAACUACGUGCCAGCAGCCGCUGUAA